GACGAACGCUGGCGGCGUGCCUAAUACAUGCAAGUCGAACGCUUCUUUCCUCCCGAGUGCUUGCCCUCCAUUGGAAAGAGGAGUGGCGGACGGGUGAGUAACACGUGGGUAACCUACCCAUCAGAGGGGGAUGACACUUGUAAACAGGUGCUAAUACCGCAUAACAGUUUAUGCCGCAUGGCAUAAGAGUGAAAGGCGCUUUCGGGUGUCGCUGAUGGAUGGACCCGCGGUGCAUUAGCUAGUUGGUGAGGUAACGGCUCACCAAGGCCACGAUGCAUAGCCGACCUGAGAGGGUGAUCGGCCACACUGGGACUGAGACACGGCCCAGACUCCUACGGGAGGCAGCAGUAGGGAAUCUUCGGCAAUGGACGAAAGUCUGACCGAGCAACGCUGCGUGAGUGAAGAAGGUUUUCGGAUCGUAAAACUCUGUUGUUAGAGAAGAACAAGGACGUUAGUAACUGAACGUCCCCUGACGGUAUCUAACCAGAAAGCCACGGCUAACUACGUG
rnacentral:rRNA from 1 species